AACGAACGCUGGCGGCAUGCCUAACACAUGCAAGUCGAACGAGACCUUCGGGUCUAGUGGCGCACGGGUGCGUAACGCGUGGGAACCUGCCCUUAGGUUCGGAAUAACUCCCCGAAAGGGGUGCUAAUACCGGAUAAUGUCUUCGGACCAAAGAUUUAUCGCCUUUGGAUGGGCCCGCGUUGGAUUAGCUAGUUGGUAGGGUAAAAGCCUACCAAGGCGACGAUCCAUAGCUGGUCUGAGAGGAUGAUCAGCCACACUGGGACUGAGACACGGCCCAGACUCCUACGGGAGGCGGCAGGGGGAAAUAUUGGAAAAGGGGCGAACGCCUUACCCACCAUUGCCGCGUGAGUGAUGAAGCCCUUGGGGUUGUAAAGCUUUUUCCCCCGGGAUGAUAAUGACAGUCCCGGGAAAAUAAGCCCCGCCUACCCCCGUC
rnacentral:rRNA from 1 species